GUACACGCUGUGACUAGCAUAUCAAUAAGCGGAGGAAAAGAAACUAACAAGGAUUCCCCUAGUAACGGCGAGUGAAGCGGGAAGAGCUCAAAUUUGAAAUCUUAAAGGGUUUCCCUUUACGAAUUGUAGUUUAAAGAAGUGUUUUCUGUUGAGGUUUUGGUAAAAGUUCUUUGGAAUAGGACAUCAUAGAGGGUGAGAAUCCCGUAUUUGACCUUUACUUUCAACUUUGUGAUACACUUUCAAAGAGUCGGAUUGUUUGGGAAUGCAGUCCAAAAUGGGUGGUAAAUUUCAUCUAAAGCUAAAUAUUGGCGAGAGACCGAUAGCGAACAAGUACCGUGAGGGAAAGAUGAAAAGAACUUUGAAAAGAGAGUUAAACAGUACGUGAAAUUGUCAAAAGGGAAGCGUUUGACACCAGUGUUGUUUUUCUGAAAAUCAAUUAAAGAACUGUUUAUGCUAAGUUGUUUAGACUUUAUCAGCUAACUGUUUAGUUUUGAGCUUUUCUUUAAUGCACUUUUCAGUUAACAAGUCAACAUCAAUUUCUUUUGCCUGUAAAAAAGCUUGAGGGAGGUGGCUUGAGAUUCGUCUUAAGUGUUUAUAGCCUCUUGCCUAUGCAGUCGGAGAGAUUGAGGUCUGCAGCGUAGAUCCUUCGGGGCUAAAUGCAUUUGUGCUAAGUUAUAGCAUUUUAUAGACAACUUGUUGACUAUGAUUUGUCUUGUAGCUUACUCGCUUAUGUUAUUUUACCUACGCUUAGGAUGUUGACGCGCGUGUGUGCGUG
rnacentral:rRNA from 1 species